rnacentral:rRNA from 1 species
GCGUGCUUAACACAUGCAAGUCGAACGGAAAGGCCCUGCUUUUGUGGGGUGCUCGAGUGGCGAACGGGUGAGUAACACGUGAGUAACCUGCCCUUGACUUUGGGAUAACUUCAGGAAACUGGGGCUAAUACCGGAUAGGAGCUCCUGCUGCAUGGUGGGGGUUGGAAAGUUUCGGCGGUUGGGGAUGGACUCGCGGCUUAUCAGCUUGUUGGUGGGGUAGUGGCUUACCAAGGCUUUGACGGGUAGCCGGCCUGAGAGGGUGACCGGCCACAUUGGGACUGAGAUACGGCCCAGACUCCUACGGGAGGCAGCAGUGGGGAAUAUUGCACAAUGGGCGGAAGCCUGAUGCAGCAACGCCGCGUGCGGGAUGACGGCCUUCGGGUUGUAAACCGCUUUCGCCUGUGACGAAGCGUGAGUGACGGUAAUGGGUAAAGAAGCACCGGCUAACUACGUGCCAGCAGCCGCGGUGAUACGUAGGGUGCGAGCGUUGUCCGGAUUUAUUGGGCGUAAAGGGCUCGUAGGUGGUUGAUCGCGUCGGAAGUGUAAUCUUGGGGCUUAACCCUGAGCGUGCUUUCGAUACGGGUUGACUUGAGGAAGGUAGGGGAGAAUGGAAUUCCUGGUGGAGCGGUGGAAUGCGCAGAUAUCAGGAGGAACACCAGUGGCGAAGGCGGUUCUCUGGGCCUUUCCUGACGCUGAGGAGCGAAAGCGUGGGGAGCGAACAGGCUUAGAUACCCUGGUAGUCCACGCUGUAAACGGUGGGUACUAGGUGUGGGGUCCAUUCCACGGGUUCCGUGCCGUAGCUAACGCUUUAAGUACCCCGCCUGGGGAGUACGGCCGCAAGGCUAAAACUCAAAGGAAUUGACGGGGCCCCGCACAAGCGGCGGAGCAUGCGGAUUAAUUCGAUGCAACGCGUAGAACCUUACCCGGGUUUGACAUGGAUCGGGAGUGCUCAGAGAUGGGUGUGCCUCUUUUGGGGUCGGUUCACAGGUGGUGCAUGGCUGUCGUCAGCUCGUGUCGUGAGAUGUUGGGUUAAGUCCCGCAACGAGCGCAACCCUUGUUCACUGUUGCCAGCACGUUAUGGUGGGGACUCAGUGGAGACCGCCGGGGUCAACUCGGAGGAAGGUGGGGAUGACGUCAAGUCAUCAUGCCCCUUAUGUCCAGGGCUUCACGCAUGCUACAAUGGCUGGUACAGAGAGUGGCGAGCCUGUGAGGGUGAGCGAAUCUCGGAAAGCCGGUCUCAGUUCGGAUUGGGGUCUGCAACUCGACCUCAUGAAGUCGGAGUCGCUAGUAAUCGCAGAUCAGCAACGCUGCGGUGAAUACGUUCCCGGGGCUUGUACACACCGCCCGUCAAGUCAUGAAAGUUGGUAACACCCGAAGCCGGUGGCCUAACCAUUGUGGGGGAGCCGUCGAAGGUGGGACUGGUGAUUAGGACUAAA